AUUGAACGCUGGCGGCAUGCCUUACACAUGCAAGUCGAACGGCAGCACGGGGGCAACCCCUGGUGGCGAGUGGCGAACGGGUGAGUAACAUAUCGGAACAUACCCUAGAUGGGGGAUAACGUAGCGAAAGUUACGCUAAUACCGCAUACGAUCUAAGGAUGAAAGUGGGGGGAUCUUCGGACCUCAUGCUCAUGGAGUGGCCGAUAUCUGAUUAGCUAGUUGGUGAGGUAAAGGCUCACCAAGGCGACGAUCAGUAGCUGGUUUGAGAGAACGACCAGCCACACUGGAACUGAGACACGGUCCAGACUCCUACGGAGGCAGCAGUGGGGGAAUUUUGGGACAAUGGGGGGCAACCUGAUCCAGCAAUGCCGCGUGAGUGAAGAAGGC
rnacentral:rRNA from 1 species